rnacentral:rRNA from 1 species
GAUGAACGCUGGCGGCGUGCCUAAUACAUGCAAGUCGAGCGAACGGACGAGAAGCUUGCUUCUCUGAUGUUAGCGGCGGACGGGUGAGUAACACGUGGAUAACCUACCUAUAAGACUGGGAUAACUUCGGGAAACCGGAGCUAAUACCGUAUAAUAUUUUGAACCGCAUGGUUCAAAAGUGAAAUACGGUCUUGCUGUCACUUAUAGAUGGAUCCGCGCUGCAUUAGCUAGUUGGUAAGGUAACGGCUUACCACGGCAACGAUGCAUAGCCGACCGGAGAGGGUGAUCGCCGACACUGGAGCUGAGCCGCGGUCAAGACUCCUACGGGAGGCAGCAGUAGGGAAUCUUCCGCAAUAGGCGAAAGCCUGACGGAGCAACGCCGAGUGAGUGAUGAAGGUCUUCGGAUCGUAAAACUCUGUUACUAGGGAAGAACAUAUGUGUAAGUAAAUGUGCACAUAUUGACGGUAACUGAUAAGAAAGCCACGGCUAACUACGUG